rnacentral:rRNA from 1 species
UAAGGAAUAUUGGUCAAUGGACGCAAGUCUGAACCAGCCAUGCCGCGUGAAGGAUGAAGGUCCUCUGGAUUGUAAACUUCUUUUAUCUGGGACGAAAACGGGAUUUUUAUCUCAACUGACGGUACCAGAGGAAUAAGCACCGGCUAACUCCGUGCCAGCAGCCGCGGUAAUACGGAGGGUGCGAGCGUUAUCCGGAUUUACUGGGUUUAAAGGGUGCGUAGGUGGGCUUAUAAGUCAGUGGUGAAAUCUCCGAGCUUAACUUGGAAACUGCCGUUGAUACUAUCGGUCUUGAAUUAUCUGGAGGUCAGCGGAAUAUGUCAUGUAGCGGUGAAAUGCUUAGAUAUGACAUAGAACACCAAUUGCGAAGGCAGCUUACUACAUAUAAAUUGACGCUGAGGCACGAAAGCGUGGGGAUCAAACA